UACGGGGGGUGCGAGCGUUGUCCGGAAUUACUGGGCGUAAAGAGCUCGUAGGUGGUUUGUCGCGUUGUCCGUGAAAACUCACAACUCAAUUGUGGGCGUGCGGGCGAUACGGGCAGACUGGAGUACUGCAGGGGAGACUGGAAUUCCUGGUGUAGCGGUGGAAUGCGCAGAUAUCAGGAGGAACACCGGUGGCGAAGGCGGGAUCCUGGGCCAGUACUGACGCUGAGGAGCGAAAGCGUGGGGAGCAAACAGG
rnacentral:rRNA from 1 species